AAUUUCAUUGUGCUUUUCAUCAGUCACAACUUACAGAUUUUCGAUCAUAUGAAGGACAAGAUAUGUUUGUUGGAGAGAAGAUUGUUCCUAUCAAGCUUGAUCUUCGGGUGAAUCAUACUCUUAUCAAGGAUCAAUUUUUGUGGGACUUGAACAACUUCGAGAGUGAUCCCGAAGAUUUUGCUAGAACAUUCUGUAAAGAUUUGGCAAUUGAAGACCCUGAAGUUGGGGUAAGCCUAAUCAAGUAUAUCAUUUGUUAGGGGAGAUUUUCUAAAAUUACUAUUCAUGAAACUUAUUUGUUAGGGGAGAUUAAAGUAAGAAUUUGCUCUUUCUUGCUAAAAUUAAGGAAGCAAGAUGUAAAAACUAAAAGGCAAUUGUUUCUAUUUUUCUCUCUAAAGAACUGUUUUGUCCCUUCAGUUUUGACUUGUUUCAGACAAAAUUUUCUAGUCUUACAGCAAUUUAUUAUCUUAAAGUUUCACUAAAUUUUACUCUAAAAAAAUCUUGAUGUUUCAUUAAUAGACAAAAGAAAUAAGUAUGCGUGCUACUCUAAUGAGAAAUUGCCAAGACCAGGAGAAAUGUGUGGCUGGUUAGGUGAAAUAAAUGGCUGAUCAGGUGAAAUAUAUAGUUGACCAGGUGAAUUGUAUGGCUGAGGUGUCAUUGAUAGAUUAUUUGUCUCUUCUAUUCUUACAUUACAGCAGGAGAAAAUAAAUAGGGCAGAGUGGGAAGUGAUUAAGAAGAGAAAAAAUUUAAUAAAAAGUUACAGCUUUUCUUUCUACAAUAAUCCCUCCUUCCUCUUCUGUAUUUUCAAUCUUUCUUCUCCCUAGUUCUGCUUUCAUCUUCUCCUAAAAUCUUUUCUGACUCUGCUGUAACUAUUCUUCUUCCUUAAUUUCCUUAAGGCUAGGUACUUGACAGAAAUAUAAAAAUGUCACGACUUUACUAUUUUUUGUUGAAGAUUUUUUUUUUUAAUAAAUUUUUACAAUCGCCAACAAGUGGAUAUUGUAGAGACUUCA